AAGUUUAAAAAACCUUAAUCUUUGUUUACAUGGCAUGUCAACAAAGAUUAUUUUUUUAAAUUCUACUAAUGGUGGCUAUUUAAACUUUGAUUGAUUCCUUUUCUAAAAAUUUCUUAAUCAUUCUAUACAAAUAUCCAAGUUGUACCAACAUUAAUACUUUCUUUAAAUUUUUUUUUGCUUUUUUUUUUGUCAAAAUGCUUUGUUUACAUAAAUCUUUUAUUUUUUGCUAACUACUUUAAAUAUGUGAUUAAAUUAUAAAUAACAUCGUUAAAUAUUGUUUAAACAAAAAGUAAUCAAGUUUCAAAAGUGUUUCCGUUUCAAUGCCACAAGAGUGUAUAUGAGUUAAAUAAUAAAAUGUCUAUUAUAAAAUAUUUAUACCAUUUUUGUGUUUAUAUUUGUUUAUAUUUAAAUAAAAAAGCACUCAAAGGUGUAAGAGUUAAAAAGUUAGUUUCUAUCAAGGCAGAUAUUCUGCACACACACAAAAAAAGGAUCCAAGAUAGCUUGCUAAAGGUUAGACCUAAGUAUUUAUUUAUUGCUCAAAAGAGUUUUUAACUUUAUCCAGAGUUGUUUGUUGCUUGAUUUUAGUUAAAUCACUCAUAUUGAGUAACAACUUUAAGAGUUGACUCGAAAUGGAAAAGAAAGGAAAGACCCAGUGGGCACACGACGGAAAAAAGACGUCUUAUGUACGUUCAGUUCACGUCCGCUCGAUUUGUUCACAAUAAGAACUAUAAUAAGACGUCUUAUGAACGUCUUUUUCUCGUCCGUUCCGAAAAUAAGAACAUUUAUCACUUUCAGUUUUGAAAAACCUUUUUAUUAUGUCUAAUGACGCGAAUGUCAUUAUUAAAAGGUGUUUUAAUAAUGGCGCCAUUUUUAUAAGGUGUUUAAAUAAUGGCGAUUCUCGUAUGAAUUACUUUUUAGAUAAUUGUUAGAUAACAUAUGUGUUUUGUAUUUAUAUAUGUAUAUAGAUAAAUAAAAUAUACAAAGAUUGUUUA
rnacentral:misc_RNA from 1 species